rnacentral:lncRNA from 1 species
CUCUCCUUCUACACUACCCCUGUCCCCCUCCCAGUCCCUUUUCCUCUCUAACUACCCUGUCCCCCAGUCCCCUUUCCUCUCUACACUACCUGUCCCCCAGUCCUUUCCUCUCUACACUACACUACCCGUCCCCACGAGUCCCUUUUCCCUCUACACUACACACACGCCUGUCCCCCAGUCCUUUCCUCCUCUACACUACCCUGUCCCCGAGUCCCUUUCCUCUCGACACUACCUGUCCCCCCCCAGUCCCCUUUCCGUCUCUACACUAACCUGUCCCUUUCCUCCUCUACACAACCGUCCCUUUCCUCUCUACACUAACCUGUCCCCUUUCCUCUCUACACUAACCUGUCCCUUUCCUCUCUACAAUACCACCCUGUCCCCCAGUCCCUUUCCUCUCUACACUAACCAGUCCUUCCUUCCUCGCUACACUGACCCUGUCCCCCAGUCCCUUUCCCUCCUACACUACCUAUCCCCCAGUCCCUUCCUCUCUCUCACAGUACCAUGUCCCCCCAGUCUAAUUCCUCUCACAGUACCAUGUCCCCCCAGUCCCUUUCCUCUCUACAGUACCAUGUCCCACCAGUCCCUUUCCUCUCUACAGUACCAUGUCCCCCAGUCCCUUUCCUCUCUACAGUACCAUGUCCCCCAGUCCUUUCCCUCUACACUAACCAGUCCCUGUCCUCUCUACACUAACUGUCCCCACCCCCCCAGUCCC